UGAGGCCCUAGAGGCAUCCUACUCAUCAUCUGGUGAUAAACCGCCGCCGCCCUCGACAUAAUCAGCCCCGACUCCGACGACAACUCCUCCUUUGGCUCUCCUUUUGGCAUCAAAAACCUUCCGUCGACAUCCUGCCUCAGAAAAUGAGCAGGGGGGAGAGAUGGCAUCUUCAUUGGCACCAUCGAACUCAUUCCUCCCAUCCCAAUGCCAGCCAAG
rnacentral:misc_RNA from 1 species